UGUGUCAGCAGCCGCGGUAAUACGUAGGGGGCGAGCGUUGUCCGGAAUUACUGGGCGUAAAGGGUACGUAGGCGGCUAUAUAAGUCAGGUGUGAAAUACCAGUGCUUAACACUGGAAUUGCAUUUGAAACUGUGUAGCUUGAGUGCAGGAGAGGAAAGUGGAAUUCCUAGUGUAGCGGUGAAAUGCGUAGAGAUUAGGAGGAACACCAGUGGCGAAGGCGACUUUCUGGACUGUAACUGACGCUGAGGUACGAAAGCGUGGGUAGCGAACAGGAUUAGAUACCCUGGUAGUCCACGCCGUAAACGAUGGAUACUAGGUGUAGGGGGUAUCGACCCCCCCUGUGCCGGAGUUAACGCAAUAAGUAUCCCGCCUGGGGAGUACGGUCGCAAGACUGAAACUCAAAGGAAUUGACGGGGGCCCGCACAAGCAGCGGAGCAUGUGGUUUAAUUCGAAGCAACGCGAAGAACCUUACCAGGGCUUGACAUCCCGAUGACCGGUACAGAGAUGUACCUUCCCUUCGGGGCAUUGGAGACAGGUGGUGCAUGGUUGUCGUCAGCUCGUGUCGUGAGAUGUUUGGUUAAGUCCCGCAACGAGCGCAACCCCUAUCCUUAGUAGCCAGCAAGUAAAGUUGGGCACUCUAGGGAGACUGCCAGGGAUAACCUGGAGGAAGGCGGGGAUGACGUCAAAUCAUCAUGCCCCUUAUGACCUGGGCUACACACGUGCUACAAUGGUGGCUACAAAGGGAAGCGACCCUGUGAAGGUGAGCAAAUCCCAAAAAGGCCAUCCCAGUUCGGAUUGUAGUCUGCAACUCGACUACAUGAAGCCGGAAUCGCUAGUAAUCGCAAAUCAGCAUGUUGCGGUGAAUACGUUCCCGGGUCUUGUACACACCGCCCGUCACACCAUGGGAGUCGGAAAUGCCCGAAGUCAGUGACCCAACCCAUCUUAGUGAGCAUGACAGCUUAAAAAAUAUGAAGCCGAAAGGCAAAAGAGUCGUGCUUAGUAAGAUGGGAGGGAGCUGCCGAAGGUGGAGCCGAUGACUGGGGUGAAGUCGUAACAAGGUAGCCA
rnacentral:rRNA from 1 species